rnacentral:Y_RNA from 1 species
GGCUGAUCUGAAGGCAGUGAGUUAUCUCAAUUGAUUGUUCACAGUCAGUACAGAUUGAACUCCUUGUUCUACUCUUUCCCCGCUUCUCCCUACUGUACUUGACUAGUCUUAA